GACAGUAUAGCGUAGUGGCUUGAGCAGUGGACUACAACUCUGGAGACCAGGGUUUGAAUCCCCAUUCAGGCA